rnacentral:rRNA from 1 species
CGGCGCGCUUUAACACAGCAAUCGACGAUGAAAUUUUACAGAACCCUUCGGGGUGAAGAUAAAAUGGAUUACGGCGGACGGGUGAGUAACACGUGAGUAACCUGCCUUAGACAUUGGGAUAGCCUCGGGAAACCGGGAUUAAUACCGAAUAACAUCACAUAGACACAUGUCCUUGUGAUCAAAACUCCGGUGGUCUAAGAUGGACUCGCGUCCCAUUAGCUAGUUGGUAAGGUAACGGCCUACCAAGGCGACGAUGGGUAGCCGGCCUGAGAGGGUGAACGGCCACAUUGGAACUGAGAAACGGUCCAAACUCCUACGGGAGGCAGCAGUGGGGAAUAUUGCACAAUGGGGGAAACCCUGAUGCAGCGACGCCGCGUGAACGAAGAAGGCUUUCGAGUCGUAAAGUUCUUUUAUAUGGGAAGAUAAUGACGGUACCAUAAGAAAAAGCCCCGGCUAACUACGUGCCAGCAGCCGCGGUAAUACGUAGGGGGCUAGCGUUGUCCGGAAUCACUGGGCGUAAAGGGUUCGCAGGCGGAAAUGCAAGUCAGGUGUAAAAGGCAGUAGCUUAACUACUGUAAGCAUUUGAAACUGCAUAUCUUGAGAAGAGUAGAGGUAAGUGGAAUUUUUAGUGUAGCGGUGAAAUGCGUAGAUAUUAAAAAGAAUACCGGUGGCGAAGGCGACUUACUGGGCUCAUUCUGACGCUGAGGAACGAAAGCGUGGGUAGCAAACAGGAUUAGAUACCCUGGUAGUCCACGCUGUAAACGAUGAGUGCUAGGUGUCGGCGUAAGUCGGUGCCGCAGUUAACACAAUAAGCACUCCGCCUGGGGAGUACGUGCGCAAGC